AUAUUACUUCACUGUGUCAUGGUAAUUUGUCAUCCUUGGCAUGCAUGGCACUUCAUCCACUUUAUAAUGCACCCCCUCUUCUGUGUUUGGGGAACAACCGGGGCUUGAUGGAAGUGGGGCUGCCUUACCACCUUGGCCAGGGAGGUGAUGAUGCGUGAAAUGGUGUCCUUUAUUGCCGGAGAUAAUGCUCUGGCGCUGGGAGGGAGAGAGCCUGGAGUGGGAAAGCUCAUUCCCUUGAAGUGAAGGAAUUAAGCUGCAGCAUUUCUGCUCAGGUUUGCUGAUGUUGAUGGGGAACAGCCACACUGCUGCUCUUGCUGGGCAGUGUUCCCAUACCUGCAGCCAGAGACUUGGCUCCCAAGGAGCUUUGUUAGCAGGAUGGCACCAAGACCAGAUGAUGAAAAGGUAUUCUGCACUUUUCCUCUCUGCUGGAUUUUCCAUUGGAAACACAUGUUGGAGGCAUGAGUGGGAUCAAUAACAUCACAGAGCUUUAAAGACUGAUUAAAUGAUCAAGGACAGAUACAUUUGAGGAUAAGCUGAAAAACUGUUCACAGAAGCAGUUGGUGCAGAGCAGAGGUGACUGGACUGGACAAUGAGGGUUUCAUGCGCAGAUACGUUUGAAUUUUUCUGCCUGGAAUUCUGUGCUUGUUACAUAACCUCUCUUGAUUAAUUGAGCCCCUGUGCCAGGUUGUCAGCUGCAGCUGAGGUAUGUCUGGCACAGCCAAGAACUGGCACACCAGCCUGCUGCUAGGUUUUGCCCUGUUCCACCCCAAGCCUCAGACAGAAUGAGCCUCAGGAACACCUGAUGGCUUGGAUGUUCCUGUGUUGGUUCUGUACCACCUGAAGACUCCCCUUCACACCAAACAAAACGUCCAGUCCUUUGACUUCACACUGGUCAGAGCAGCCCCACAGAAAUUCUGACUUUGACAGAACAUUCCUGGAGGCCCCAUGCUCUGGUCAUGAGCAGACAGCCUUUUGCACAAGGUAAAAAUAUCAGCCAUUCCACUGGUCAUGAGCCACUCUAAUAACUACUGAUGUCUGGGGGACCUAGAAGACAUUAGGUGCAUUAGGACAACUGGAAUUUGUUAUAUUGAAUAUGUGAUUCUAGUUUUGCAUUUUUAGGUCCCAAAUGGAAGAAGUCUUAAGAGAUAUUCAAAGAGAAGUCAUGGUGAAACGAGUUUUCCCUUUAUUCCAUGCAGUAGUGAAGAGUGAACAGAAUUAGGGAAGUCUAACUAGGGAAGGUUGCAUGCAGCUGAACUUUUUUUUUUGUUUUAACCAAUUUUCCAGGCUAUGCUCCUACAAGUAAUAGGGAUUUAUUUCAAGAAGUUGAAUUUAAAUAAUUUACCUGUCCUUGUGAGGCAGAUAGAAAUGGUGUAUUGUCUCUUUUCUCCCUCUUGAAAGGUGUGCUCAUGCAGACACCAAUGCAGAGACCAAAUGUUUCAUUAAAUCAAUGAAAUCCUAUGCAAUACUGGAUGGAAGCACUACCUUGUAUGCUUUCUGCUUCUCCCUGUGUGCUGAGAGACUUUCUUUAUUGGAUAUUCUUCUAACCUAACUGCUUGCUAUAUACAAUUUUUCCCUUUUUUUCUCCUUAAUAUAAAUCAACAAUCUUUACAAAAAAUGAAAAUUUAAUAACACAUUAUAGAUUCAGAUGAAUCAAUAGCUCUAAUGGUUUGGAAGAGAGUUUUGCCCAGUUGAUUAAUUUGGAUUAUCAAAUUCUGGAGACACAGACUGCAGCUCAUGGAUUUUAUGAUGCCCAAGAUGGCUUUGCCUUCAUCCAGAAGGUAACUGACGAUACCUAAUUAAUGACAAAUGUUUCAAACACAUACUUGCUGUAGCUACUAUAGUCUUUCAGCUGAAAUCAGCAAUUUAUCUUUCUUCCUGGCUCAUUAAACUCUAUUUUGAGCUCCAAUAAUAUACAGCUAAUGAUCAUGUCUUUAAGAGUAUUUGCAAAUCAGUCACCUCUGCCCUGGAAUUAGUUCUUAAAAAGUCUAAAAAUCUACAAUAAUUUAAAACAGAGUGCAUAUCAAUGCUUCAGGGCCUGUAUAAUUUGAAGGUUGGGGGGAUAUUUUCUCCUUUCUCUUGAUAAGAUCUCUUGCUAAGAGAAGCUCUUCUGGUAAAAUCUUUUCUCCUCCUCCUCAUCUGCAUGUGCAAUGUACAAAAUUCAGUCUCAACUACAUUUUCGGGUUGUAUUUAUAAAUGUUAUGGCUAGAUUCUGGGUAUCAACUUCUCCUCAGAGGAGCAUUUGCCAUUAUAAAGGAGCCUGCAGUGGG